rnacentral:rRNA from 1 species
ACGCUCGACACCUACGGGGGCAGCAGUGGGGAAUAUUGCACAAUGGAGGAAACUCUGAUGCAGCGACGCCGCGUGAGGGAAGAAGGUCUUCGGAUUGUAAACCUCUGUUGUCAGGGACGAUGAUGACGGUACCUGACGAGGAAGCCACGGCUAACUACGUGUCAGCAGCCGCGGUAAUCUGAGCGGGCUGGCAAGGC